GUAGAAGAAAUUUGUCACCAACGCAUUCACGAACUGAAGAAUCAUUCCCAUUUCUUAAUUUUUUUUCUUCAAUUUUCCCGUUGACUUACAAAAAUCAAAUUUUGGUUUCGGUUUUGAUUUGGGAUUUUCCAUUUUUCUUCUCUUUCGCCUUCUUUCGAUCUGAUUAUUAGUUUUUCUUUUUUUCUUCACAUCUUUGAUCCUCUCCUUCCCUUAGGGUUUGGAUUGGACUUUUCUUUGUCGUCUCAGAUCCUCAAUUUCACCGCGUAAUUUCUUUCCACUUCUCUCAGUUCCCACCAUUUUAGUCUCCAUUUUUCUUUUCCACCUUUUUUCUUCGCGUUUACUGCUUCUUUCUUCUCCUGCUCAUAGUGUUUACGACGUCAGAAAUCUUUGUUCUCUUGGAGGAAAGCCUAUAUAUUUCCUGUUUUUUUGUUCAGACCAUUUCUGGGUUCUCUUUUAUUUCUCAGAAUGGCCACACCGUUGAUGGCUUCUGGGAUUUUUAAACUGCGGAGGAUCAAGUGAAGGGCUAUGAAGAAAGAACCUCAGUACAUGGCCAUGUCCACUUUUUUAUUAUUCAAUUUUGUCUAUUAUUUAAGGACUACUUAAGACUAUAAUAAUCUUUCCUGGUUACAGUAAAUACUAUUUUUAGUCUCCAAUCCAUCACCGAUUUGCUACAA